UUUUUUUUUGGUAUGCUGCUGUUGCUUUUUUAGCAAGUUGCUGCUUUUUGGUCAGACCAUUGCUGGAAAGCACUUAGCAUUCCUUCACUAUGACUGUUCCCAGCAAUAAUUACUGUUUUCAUCUUAAUUUUAUCCUUUCAGACAUUUAUCUCUAUGAAAGUAUGUGGUCAGGUCCAAUGGCCGCAUGCCUGUAAUCCCAGUAGCUCGGGGGGGCUGAGGCAGGAGAUCAUGAAUUCAAAGCCAGCCUCAGCAACAGUGAGGCUGGCUUUGAACUCAUGAUCCUCUAAGAAACUCAGUGAGACCUUGUCUCUAAAUAAAAUACAAAAUAGGGCUCAGNUUUUUUUUUUUUUUUUUUUUUUUUUUUUGGUAUGCUGCUGUUGCUUUUUUAGCAAGUUGCUGCUUUUUGGUCAGACCAUUGCUGGAAAGCACUUAGCAUUCCUUCACUAUGACUGUUCCCAGCAAUAAUUACUGUUUUCAUCUUAAUUUUAUCCUUUCAGACAUUUAUUUCUAUGAAAGUAUGUGGUCAGGUCCAAUGGCCGCAUGACUGUAAUCCCAGUAGCUCGGGGGGCUGAGGCAGGAGAUCAUGAAUUCAAAGCCAGCCUCAGCAACAGUGAGGCUGGCUUUGAACUCAUGAUCCUCUAAGAAACUCAGUGAGACCUUGUCUCUAAAUAAAAUACAAAAUAGGGCUCAGGAUGUGGUUUAGUGGUUGAGUGCCCCUGAAUUCAAUCCCAGGUACCCCUCUCUCAAAAAAAACUUUUGUGUAAUUUUUUGUUUUUGCAUAAAUGGCAGAUUUUAUUGCAUCUGAAAUGUGUAAAUUUUUUAUUAUUAAAGUGUACAUUUAUAAAUUAGCCUCUGACUUUUGUAUUUUUAACUAGAAAUGUGUCGAAUGUGUUCCCUUAAGAUUUUUA
rnacentral:lncRNA from 1 species